GCCUGGGUGGCUUAGUCGGUUAAGCAUCUGACUCUUGAUUUCAGCUCAGGUCAUGAUGUCGAGGUUCAUGGGUUCGAGUCCCACAUCAGGCU
rnacentral:tRNA from 1 species